UCGCGCUAGGUGGGGAGGCAGCGGUUCCCUGAACCCGAAAUCCGCUCCAGCGGGGCCGAACGCCGUCCGAGGGACGGCUUGGUCGGGAUUGGAUCGGCGCACGUGGCGUUGACAGAUCGGGUCCCGCGCACGGAGAGCGUUCGAACCGCGUCAGGUCCGGAAGGAAGCAGCGCUAAGGACUCCCUCUUCGGUGUAGCGGUCACCGCCCGAUCCGAGCCGGCGGCGCAGACACCUCCGGCGGAGCCGUGACGACGACGGAGCGUGC
rnacentral:SRP_RNA from 1 species